AGGGUUUGAUUAUGGCUCAGGACGAACGCUGGCGGCGUGCCUAACACAUGCAAGUCGAACGGAGAUAAAGAUUUCGGUUUUUAUCUUAGUGGCGCACGGGUGAGUAAUACGUGAAUAACCUGACCCAAAGAGGGGGAUAACACCUGGAAACAGGUGCUAAUACCGCAUAAGACCACAAUGUCGCAUGACGAAGGGGUCAAAGAAAAUCGCUUUGGGAGGGGUUCGCGUCCCAUUAGGUAGUAGGCGGGGUAACAGCCCACCUAGCCGACGAUGGGUAGCCGAGCUGAGAGGCUGAUCGGCCACACUGGAACUGAGACACGGUCCAG
rnacentral:rRNA from 1 species